UUCCAUUACGAUUCAUCCUACUUAAAACACCGCCUCACUUUUUUAUCAAAGUAGCUUCUUUCAUUUUCUGGAAAUAUUUCGAAAACACAGCUGCUCAUUUCCAGUGUUGUUCCUCUCGCCUCCAGUGGUAAAUUUUAAAUUUAUGUACAGAGAUUAUGCAAUUCUAUUCCAGCACAUCAAUGAUUUCUUCAUUGUUUUCAUAUCUGCCCAAAAACCAAAACUUUACAACAGAAUUCUGUUUUCAAAUCAAAACAUGUAUACAUCCAUUUUUCUGUAAUUUCCAUAAGGAAAUCAAAUAGAACACAGAUAUUAUUAAUUACACAGAAACGGAAAAAUAGGAGAAUAAAGUGGAGAUGGAGUUUGUGGCAUAGAACAGGGGGAAAUCGGGUGUAUGAUUGCUGGAAAACAGGAGAGGCGAAGGGGGAGCUGGCUAGUAGGCGUCGCCGGGCGCUGCCGCGCCACGGCGGCCGGCGAAGAUGGGCAGGGAGGUGGCGACGGCGGCUGGGCUGUGCUGCUGUCAACGCGGAGACGGCGAUGGUGGCAGCUGCCGUCGACCAGAAGAGGGCGAGAAGUGAGAGAUAAGGGAAGAGGGAGAGAGAGGCUGAAGGAAAGAGAGAGGAGGCAGGGCCGCCGGCUCCGGCGACGGCGCUGCCGUCCGGUGGUGGCGGUAGGAGGAGGGCCGAGGGGAGAGUAGGAGGGAGGGAGAAUGAGGAGCUGCUGCUGUGCGUAAGUUUUGUGUGUGUUGGGGUGUGAGUGAGUGAGUGAGUGUUAUAUUAAGGGUUGAUAGUAGGCCUUGGGCUUGGGCUUAGGUUAGUUUAAUUUUAAAUGGGCUCAGGUUUAUUAAAUGAUUGGGCUAUAAUUUGAUUAGCUAUUGCACUAAUUUAUUUUAUCAAAAUGCUUGCAUUUGCAUAUUAUUUUUCAAAAGAUGUCAUUAAUACAAUAUUUGGGCUAGAUUAUUAAUUUGAACUUAGUUUUACUUAAAUAUUGAGCCCAAAUCUUUUUAUAAGAAAAACUCUUAUAUAAUCUAUUAGACCAAUGUUUUCUUUAAAUGAUUUUAUGAUAAUAAAUUCUUAAGAUUUAAACUACUUAAUUAUUAUUUUUAAAGUUCAAUUAGGCCCUUAUGUAUUAUUAUUUGAAUUUAUCUGACUAGGUGCGGCGCGACUAGAACGUUACUUUUAUUUGAUUUACUCAAGUUAGCAUACAAGUUGAAGUUCAAGUUCAAGUUCAAAAUUCAGGUGUGGGAUUUAUUUCAGUACAUGCACGUGGUUAAUUCUUGUCCAUUUUAAUAUCAUGUGUUUACCAUAUGUGAGUUGCAUUAAAUUAUAUCGCUAGGGGCCCGCUCAAUGGGUCCAGGACUUCACAGUCCUUGGUAUGCCACAAUGCGAUUUCAUGUUAAAGUUAUGGUUGCAACCAGUCGCCAGGGGCCGGCUAAAUCGGUCCAGGACGGAAAGGUCCUUGGUAUGCCACCGUGCGACUUUCAGUUACGAAUGUAUUGAUCAUAUGUGAUUCUCAUUUUAUUAACGUGGACAAUGAUUGCAUGUUCCCACACUGAGUGUACCCUGUAUGCUCAUCCCAUAUUCAACAUUUUCAGGUUUUAAAGGUCGGAGGCGCGUGGAAGGUCGAAUGGCGAGUCAAAUAUUUUGAAUUUAGUUUUACUUAAAAAUGUUAUUUUGAGUAAAGUAUGUUUAAAGAAAAAUGUAUUUCUUUAUUUUCACAUUAAAUAUUUAUUUAUAGUCAUGAUUUUUCCGCGUGCGUUUUCAUUUAAAUUUAAAAUGGAUUUGGGUGUCACAAGGUGGUAUAAGAGCAGGUCUACUUUCCUGUAGACUCUGCAAAAUAAAAAUUUCAUAAAAUUCUUAAAAGUCACGUGUGACGAAGCUAUUCGACCGCUACGCGCUCCGACUUCAAGGUAAAAGUAUUUGAAAAGUUUUCAAGGGGAUGAGUAUAAAUUAUUUACGUUGAAAGUAUGUUGAAAUUUGCUGCAAUAAUUGAAGUUAUUAUGAGAAAUUUCAAGUUCAGUAUUCAAGUUAUUAUGUUGAAGAUUAUUGCAGCUAUGAAUUGUUAAAUUUCGAGGACGAAAUUUUUUUUAAGUGGGUAGGUUUGUCACAACCCAAAACCGUUUACUUCCUUUGCAAUUUUUUAUUUAGAAAAUAUUAUAGUUUCGAGUUAUAUAUAAUAUAUAUAUAUAUAUAUCAUGAGUCGAGUUUUGUGAUGAAUCUAGUCGCGCCCCUAGUUAGAUAUUAAUUUUAGAUUACAGAUUUUUACUUAGCAAUAAAUAUUUACAUAAUUGGGCUGAAUGAAUAUUUGCAUAUAUUUUUUAUAUUAUUGGGCCUAAAUAAAAACUAGUUGUAGUCUAUUUUUUUUAUUGGGCUUCACUUACUUGUAUUGCUUUUGGAUAUACAUGUCUUCUUUUUUUAUCAACUCAAAUUUUCAGCCACAUUUUCUGAUUUUGGACGUGUUCCAUUCCUCAGCCACAAUUAUAUUUUUCACUUCAUCUAUCAAUUACUUUUGAAAUCUUGUACCGCAAGUUCCAUUACGAUUCAUCCUACUUAAAACACCGCCUCACUUUUUUUAUCAAAGUAGCUUCUUUCAUUUUCUGGAAAUAUUUCGAAAACACAGCUGCUCAUUUCCAGUUGUUCCUCUCGCCUCCAGUGGUAAAUUUUAAAUUUAUGUGCAGAGAUUAUGCAAUUCUAUUCCAGCACAUCAAUGAUUUCUUCAUUGUUUUCAUAUCUGCCCAAAAACCAAAACUUUACAAUAGAAUUCUGUUUUCAAAUCAAAACAUGUAUACAUCCAUUUUUCUGUAAUUUCCAUAAGGAAAUCAAAUAGAACAAAGAUAUUAUUAAUUACACAGAAACGGGAAAAAUAGGAGAAGAAAUGGAGAUGGGAGUUUGUGGGAGUUUGUGGCAAAGAAUAGGGGAGGGACGGUGGAAUAGCGCCGCCGGCGCUUCGCGCCACGGCGGCUGGCGGGAGGAGACAGGGAGGUGGUGCGGUGGCUUCGGCCGCUGUUGUGCAGUUCCGGUCGGACAAAGGGAGGAGGCGGAUGGGCGGUGCUGGAUCUGGAAAAGGGGGGCGGCGGCUGGGCUGUGCUGCUGUCGACGCGGAGGCGGCGAUGGCGGUGCUGCUGCUAGCCGGGCGAGCGACAGGGGAGAAGCGUGGUUGUGGCGGUGGCUGGCGGAGGUGUCGCCGGAGAAUGGUGGACGUUGCUGUUGGGUACGGUGGGGGAAGAGUGAGAGGGAGAUUAGAGGUGAGGAAAGGAGAGAGGUCGAAGGGAAGGAGAGAGAAGGCGGAGCCGCCGGCCUCCGGGGACGGCGCUGCCGUCCGGGGGCGGCGGCAGGAGGUCGCAAAGAGCGAGAGAGAGUGAGCGGCAAAGAGGGAGAAGGGAAAUGGGAGCUGCGUGAGUUUUGUGAGCAAUUAGGGUGUGUGAGUUUAAAUUAGGGGAGUUGGAAGAGUGGGCUUGGGCUCUUUUUGAUUUUAAUUUAUUGGGCUGGGCUCCCUUUAUUUAAAAUGAUUGGACUUCAUAUUUUAAAUUUCAUUAUUGCAUUGGACCUGAUUUUAUUAAAUCCCAACUCAAAUUUUAAAGAAACAUG
rnacentral:lncRNA from 1 species